rnacentral:lncRNA from 1 species
CAGAACUAGCGUCAGAGCUGAACCGGGACCCUCGCCUUGUGACUCCAGGCCCGGUCCCUCACCUGCCCGGCCUGUGCAAAAGUCACGUCGAUGUUGGACGAUGACUCUGGACUUUCGGAAACAUAAUCGCGCAGGUCCACUGAUGACAUUACGCACGUUGGAUCCGAGGAGCAGGAAACGGUAGGUAUGGCAGCCCCCUUAGGAGGACGUAUGCAGAGCAGAGGUAUUCACAGGCCUGCCGCCCCUCUGGUGUUUCUGAGGAUUCGGUGGUCUGGAAGCGAGUGGGGUUGUUGCUUUGAUUUGCAGCAAACCAAACAUGGGUAUAAAGAUCCCCGAUGUUUGAUGUAAGAUGAGACCGUAAGCCUCAUCUGUCCAUUCAAGGACAGAUGAAUUCAGCUUUUACCUUUUUAGAUAAGACUCGACAUUAUUAUAUCUGAAGGUGAGAUAUUUCAACUUUCCUGCAUGCUGGCUUAUUAAUUUAUUUUUUUCCCUCCAAAAUCUCUGAUAUAUCGGACUUGAGGUUAGGUGGCUCCUGGAAAAGUCACAGAGGAUCUAUUCAGCAACUCUCCAGCUGAGGCCGGUUGCCAUGCACCCGAACCAGCAGCAAAUGUUUAGGAAUCACUAAUGUAGGCAGGGUGAGUGGCCAAAGUUAAGAGAGGGCUGGCUUAAAUGCCGUGUUAUUGAUUCCUGAUUUACACUGCAGUCUGUUGACCUUACCUCUCCCUCCCUGACAACUGCUUUUCCCUAUUUCUGUGAACAAUGCCAGUGGGUAUUCAUCGGCUUGCCCCCGACACAGUUCUUACGUGCAGGUCGUAGGACGUUAAUCAUGAGCCAAGUUGAUUAAGUAACCCCGUAAGAUGUAUAGUUGAUACUUCCCUAUCAGUUUGCUCAAUUAUUUUACAAGUUCAGGGGCUACAAGCCAACAUCCCCAACUGGCCAUCUGCUUAGAAGCUGGCCCUCCAGCAGCGCUAGCCUUUGGCCAAAUCCGUCUUCAGGUACCAGCCACCCAGUGGCAGUCUGAACCAUGGGGGCAAAGUAUCUCCAUUCUUAGACGUGCACAGAAAACACAUCAUGCCCAGAACUGAGUUGCCUCAUCAAAAAAAUAACCAAGACAGGUUUCUCAACACCUAUCAGCAAAAUCUAUGUCUCAAACACAAGCGAGGCCCAAGGAGUGUUGCAGUGAUCAGAUCCCAGGGUGCGGGGACCCUAAACAAUGACUCUGGGUAGUAAAUGGAAGUAAAGAUAUGAGGCGUUUGACUCCAAGCGCCGCCUUGAGGAGAAGGGCUCACGCCAGUCCCUGAAAUCCCAGAGCAUCUCACUCCAUGCUGUUUAUGUGUAACCUCAGUUCAGGGACAGGAUGGGGUACCGACCCCGGGGCGCCUGGGUGGCUCAGUCAGUUAAGUGUCCGACUCUUGAUUUCAGCUCAGGUCACGAUCUCAUGGUUCAUGGGUUCGAGCCUUGCAUCAGGCUCUGCACUGACAGUAAGGAGGCUGCUUUGGAUUCUCUCUCUCCCUCUCUUCCCCUCACUCUCUGCCCCUCCCCUGCAUGGUCUCUCUCUCAUAAAAAAAAAAAAUGGGAUACCAACCCACUGGCAUAUUACCAACAGCAGGCACCCCCCCCCCAGGUGUCUCCGAUCUUUGCCAUGUCUGCCCUCAGGGUCCCUGGGUGACCACGUCUCUCCCCAAGAUUGGUUCCCUGGUUAGCUGAGCAGGCCCCUUGCCUCAUGAGAGGCUUCCAGUUACUGAGGGAACCACAGUCAGGAGAUGCCAGAGGGAUUGAAAUUGCUCACAUUUUCAGCCAUGUCAUCUGUAACUAGCAUGCAGGAAAGUUGAAAUAUCUCACCUUCAGAUAUAAGAACGUUGAGUCUUAUCUAAAAAGGUAAAAGCUGACUUCGUAUGUCCACGAACGGACCGAUGAGGCUUACAAUCCCAUCUUACAUUAAACACACGGGAUUCUUGUACCCACUUUUGGUUUGCUGCAAACCAAAGUAAUAACCCCACUCACUUCCGGGCGAAGAAGAGAUUUACUAUUUUAACGUGGCCCUUUCUAUAACAGGAAUUCUCUGGUCACAAGAAGAAUCAGCCUGUAGCAUGAAGUAGCAUCAACAAAGUAUUUAUGUCUUACUAUAUGAGUCAGGACAGAUUAAGCUAUGCUUCAGCAACAAACAACCUCUACAACUGUAGUGGCUUACGGACAACAUUUCUCUCGGUGUAAGGAACUCUCCAGAGCGUCUGUCCUUCACGAAGUGAUCCAGCGAUCCAGGCUGCCGUGGCUUCCGAUCUCAGCGUGAGGCCCCCACGUUGACCACUGUGAGGAGAAAACAGACUCCAGAAUCACUCAGAGGCUUUGCCCUCCCCCAGUCCAGAAGGGAUGCUCAGCAUUUCUUCUACAUUUCUUGGGCCAGAACACAGACCCACUGAACUUCAAGUUGACUGAAAAGUGUUGCCUCCCAGAAGAAAAGGAGACCAGACGUCGGAACCUCUAGUAGGGUCUCCACGCUCAACUUGGUCCUCCCUCUUCUGGAAGCUUCCAUUCAGUCAUCUGUGGACUGCCAUUGGGAUUCUGGAGCACCCCAAGGAAAAGGCGCUGGUCCUCUGUGAAUAAUCAAUAGCUUCUUUGUUAGGGUCGGUUUAUAGUCUCUGCAGGACAUAAGACUCACUGAAAUGGUCUAGUCUUUCUUAAAAUGGACUUUUCCAGCUU